UGGGGAAUAUUGCACAAUGGGCGCAAGCCUGAUGCAGCCAUGCCGCGUGUAUGAAGAAGGCCUUCGGGUUGUAAAGUACUUUCAGCGGGGAGGAAGGGAGUAAAGUUAAUACCUUUACUCAUUGACGUUACCCGCAGAAGAAUCACCGGCUAACUCCGUGCCAGCAGCCGCGUUAAUACGGAGGUUUCAAGCGUUAAUCGGAAUUACUGGGCGUAAAGCGCACGCAGGCGGUUUGUUAAGUCAGAUGUGAAAUCCCCGGGCUCAAACUAGGAACUGCAGCUGAUACUGGCAAGCUUGAGACUCGUAGAGGGGGGUAGAAUUCCAGGUGUAGCGAUGAAAUGCGUAGAGAUCUGGAGGAAUACCGGAGGGGAAGGCGGCCCCCUGGACGAAGACUGACGAUAAGGUGCGAAAGCGUGGGGAGCCAACAGG
rnacentral:rRNA from 1 species